AGAAAAUUCUGUCUCAAAAAAGAUUUACUUAUGAUCUACCUUAAAUGCUCUUCUUCUCCUCCUCUGCCCAUUAACUGUACUGUAAAACUAACAAACUUUAGGCUUCUUAUACUUAAAUUUCACAAAUUCCUUAAACAAAAGUGUUACUUUGCAGCUAUAUUGUGAUAUCUGAAAGAUAUGUUUGGCACUGUAUCCUGUUCUAACAGUUCAAUUCGUCGGCAAAGUACGUCCUUAAUCGAUUUAAAACCAUGAUUUUUUCGACCAUGUUGGAUUUUUCAAAAUAGCGUCUUUGUCAUCAAUUAUGUUCAUAUUUCAAAUAAAUUUACCUUUCUUAUAAUUUUUUUGGAAAUAACUUUAAUAAUAUUUAUUUUUUGAUGCAAAGAAAUAAUAAUUUUGUUCUAAUCCAUUCAAAUUGUGAAAUCGGAAUUAAAAUACACAAAGGCACAUAUAUAAAUAUGUACACACGUGUGUUUAUUUCUCCAAAAAAGGUCAAACAGCAGGUAAGCCUGAAAAGUUACAGUCAGGUAGAUACAAGUGUACAUAACACAACAAUUAUUCAGGUAUUACAAAAUGUAUGCAAAAGCAAAUUAUCAAUACUUGUUAUAAUCAUCUCGUGAACAAACUUAAUUCUGGAGCUUUAAAACAAUGUACGACAUCAAUACUGGAUAAAAUAUCAUAACAAUAAUAAUGAAAUAAAAUCAAUAUCUUUAUAGUCAGCUUCCUAAUUUUUUG
rnacentral:lncRNA from 1 species